AAAAAGUUGAGUAUGCAGUUUUUUAGUUCAUUCAAUUUUAGUAUAAUAAAGUGCAAAUAUGAGGAAGUUAAGACUUACCACUGAUUUUUAUGAAAUUUUUUUGUUGAA